rnacentral:rRNA from 1 species
CGGACGGGUGAGUAAUGUCUGGGAAACUGCCCGAUGGAGGGGGAUAACUACUGGAAACGGUAGCUAAUACCGCAUAACGUCGCAAGACCAAAGAGGGGGACCUUAGGGCCUCUUGCCAUCGGAUGUGCCCAGAUGGGAUUAGCUAGUAGGUGGGGUAAAGGCUCACCUAGGCGACGAUCCCUAGCUGGUCUGAGAGGAUGACCAGCCACACUGGAACUGAGACACGGUCCAG